GAAGUUUGCUCUGCCCAAUGAAAAUUUAAAUGGCCGCGGUAUUUUGACUGUGCUAAGGUAGCAUAAUCAUUAGUUUAUUAAUUGUAAGCUAGAAUGAAUGAGUUGACGAGAAUUAGGCUUUUUUGAUAAGUAACCUUGAAUUUUAUUUUUCAUUAAAAAAGAUGAAUUAGAUUUAAAAGACGAGAAGACCCUAUAGAGUUUUAUACAAGAUAAUAUUUUUGGAAUUAUGAAUUAAUAGUAUUUGGUUGGGGUAACAUCUGUAUAUAAUUAUUUAUAGAAUUAGUGUUACUAUAAAUUAGGAUUUAUGAACUUUUUUAAGUUAUUUGAUUAAAUUACCUUAGGGAUAACAGUGCUAUAUGUUUUUGAAGUUCCUAUUUAAAAAUAUGUUUGCAACCUCGAUGUUGAAUUAAGAUUU
rnacentral:rRNA from 1 species